GACCGGGUGGCGAAGUGGACAGCGCGUCGGUCUUCGGAACCGAAGAUUGCAGGUUCGAAUCCUGCCGUGGUCG
rfam:Toxocara canis scaffold114, whole genome shotgun sequence.